CCUACGGGAGGCAGCAGUAGGGAAUCUUCCACAAUGGGCGAAAGCCUGAUGGAGCAACGCCGCGUGGGUGAAGAAGGUCUUCGGAUCGUAAAACCCUGUUGUUAGAGAAGAAAGGGCGUGAGAGUAACUGUUCACGUUUCGACGGUAUCUAACCAGAAAGCCACGGCUAACUACGUGCCAGCAGCCGCGGUAAUACGUAGGUGGCAAGCGUUAUCCGGAUUUAUUGGGCGUAAAGGGAACGCAGGCGGUCUUUUAAGUCUGAUGUGAAAGCCUUCGGCUUAACCGGAGUAGUGCAUUGGAAACUGGGAGACUGGAGUGCAGAAGAGGAGAGUGGAACUCCAUGUGUAGCGGUGAAAUGCGUAGAUAUAUGGAAGAACACCAGUGGCGAAAGCGGCUCUCUGGUCUGUAACUGACGCUGAGGUUCGAAAGCGUGGGUAGCAAACAGGAUUAGAUACCCGUGUAGUC
rnacentral:rRNA from 1 species